rnacentral:rRNA from 1 species
GACGAACGCUGGCGGCGUGCUUAACACAUGCAAGUCGAACGGAAAGGCCUCUUUCGGGGGGUACUCGAGUGGCGAACGGGUGAGUAACACGUGAGUAACCUGCCCUUGACUUUGGGAUAACUUCAGGAAACUGGGGCUAAUACCGGAUAGGAGCUCCUGCUGCAUGGUGGGGGUUGGAAAGUUUCGGCGGUUGGGGAUGGACUCGCGGCUUAUCAGCUUGUUGGUGGGGUAGUGGCUUACCAAGGCUUUGACGGGUAGCCGGCCUGCGAGGGUGACCGGCCACAUUGGGACUGAGAUACGGCCCAGACUCCUACGGGGGGCAGCAGUGGGGAAUAUUGCACAAUGGGUGGGAGCCUGAUGCAGCAACGCCGUGUGCGGGAUGACGGCCUUCGGGUUGUAAACCGCUUUCGCUCAUGACGAAGCUUUGUGUGACGGUAGUGGGUAAAGAAGCACCGGCUAACUACGUG